AGAGUUUGAUCCUGGCUCAGGAUGAACGCUGGCGGCGUGCCUAAUACAUGCAAGUCGAGCGAACUGAUUAGAAGCUUGCUUCUAUGACGUUAGCGGCGGACGGGUGAGUAACACGUGGGCAACCUGCCUGUAAGACUGGGAUAACUUCGGGAAACCGAAGCUAAUACCGGAUAGGAUCUUCUCCUUCAUGGGAGAUGAUUGAAAGAUGGUUUCGGCUAUCACUUACAGAUGGGCCCGCGGUGCAUUAGCUAGUUGGUGAGGUAACGGCUCACCAAGGCAACGAUGCAUAGCCGACCUGAGAGGGUGAUCGGCCACACUGGGACUGAGACACGGCCCAGACUCCUACGGGAGGCAGCAGUAGGGAAUCUUCCGCAAUGGACGAAAGUCUGACGGAGCAACGCCGCGUGAGUGAUGAAGGCUUUCGGGUCGUAAAACUCUGUUGUUAGGGAAGAACAAGUAUGAGAGUAACUGCUCGUACCUUGACGGUACCUAACCAGAAAGCCACGGCUAACUACGUGCCAGCAGCCGCGGUAAUACGUAGGUGGCAAGCGUUAUCCGGAAUUAUUGGGCGUAAAGCGCGCGCAGGCGGUUUCUUAAGUCUGAUGUGAAAGCCCACGGCUCAACCGUGGAGGGUCAUUGGAAA
rnacentral:rRNA from 1 species